GUGAAGAAGAAAAGACCAAGUACUUCAUCCAUGCAGUUCUUUACCAGUAGAAGUUAAGUCCCAAGAUAAUUUACCCUCUCCACAUCAAGAAGUAGGCUGAAAGGAUAGGACGUCAGAGCUGGGCGAAGGCAGCAACGCCAUUGGUUCGAGGCUGUAGUUGGUUGAGGCCCACUUGGACAAGCCGAUCACUAAGGAGAACAGGGCAAGGAUAAAUAGGCUUCGCUAGCACGGUAUAUUGUAUCUCCUAUGAACACCCAAAUAUGGAUGGUGGCUUGGAGCUGGAAAAUGGGUCGCUGGGCUUGCUGUGUAGUAUCUCAUAUGACGGACUUAGACUGCUGACAACCACCACAUUGCGAUGGUUCAGGAUUGGGCGCAGUGGUGCUGGAAGGGCCCACUGCUAGCAGCAGCAGUGAUGGCGCUGUGCAUGAAGGUCCAGGAGGGCGCCUUGGUACAUGACGGCGACUUGCUCCUCCACUAGGAUGCAUGCAGCUGCCACCUGGGACAAGAAUGAACAACUAGGUGAAGAAGAAAAGACCAAGUACUUCAUCCAUGCAGUUCUUUACCAGUAGAAGUUAAGUCCCAAGAUAAUUUACCCUCUCCACAUCAAGAAGUAGGCUGAAAGGAUAGGACGUCAGAGCUGGGCGAAGGCAGCAACGCCAUUGGUUCGAGGCUGUAGUUGGUUGAGGCCCACUUGGACAAGCCGAUCACUAAGGAGAACAGGGCAAGGAUAAAUAGGCUUCGCUAGCACGGUAUAUUGUAUCUCCUAUGAACACCCAAAUAUGGAUGGUGGCUUGGAGCUGGAAAAUGGGUCGCUGGGCUUGCUGUGUAGUAUCUCAUAUGACGGACUUAGACUGCUGACAACCACCACAUUGCGAUGGUUCAGGAUUGGGCGCAGUGGUGCUGGAAGGGCCCACUGCUAGCAGCAGCAGUGAUGGCGCUGUGCAUGAAGGUCCAGGAGGGCGCCUUGGUACAUGACGGCGACUUGCUCCUCCACUAGGAUGCAUGCAGCUGCCACCUGGGACAAGAAUGAACAACUAGGUG